UACGUAGGUGGCGAGCGUUGUCCGGAUUUACUGGGCGUAAAGGGCUUGUAGGCGGUUCGUUAAGUCCGGUGUGAAAUCUCCCGGCCCAACUGGGAGGGGCCAUCGGAUACUGGCGAACUGGAGGCGGGCAGAGGAAAGCAGAAUUCCCGGUGUAGCGGUGAAAUGCGUAGAUAUCGGGAGGAAUACCAGUGGCGAAGGCGGCUUUCUGGGCCUGUCCUGACGCUGAGGAGCGAAAGCGUGGGGAGCAAACCGG
rnacentral:rRNA from 1 species